UACGUAGGGGGCAAGCGUUGUUCGGAAUUACUGGGCGUAAAGAGCGCGUAGGCGGCACGGCAAGUCAGGAGUGAAAGGCCUGGGCUCAACCGAGGAACUGCUUUUGAGACUGCCGAGCUAGAGUGCAGAAGGGGCAACUGGAAUUCCCAGUGUAGCGGUGAAAUGCGUAGAUAUUGGGAAGAACACCUGAGGCGAAGGCGGGUUGCUGGGCUGACACUGACGCUGAGGCGCGAAAGCCAGGGGAGCAAACGGG
rnacentral:rRNA from 1 species